AUUGAACGCUGGCGGCAUGAUUUACACAUGCAAGUCGAACGGUAACAGGCCGCAAGGUGCUGACGAGUGGCGAACGGAUGAGUAAUGCAUCGGAACGUGCCCAGUCGUGGGGGAUAACUACUCGAAAGAGUAGCUAAUACCGCAUACGAUCUAUGGAUGAAAGCGGGGGACCGUAAGGCCUCGCGCGAUUGGAGCGGCCGAUGUCAGAUUAGGUAGUUGGUGGGGUAAAGGCUCACCAAGCCAACGAUCUGUAGCUGGUCUGAGAGGACGACCAGCCACACUGGGACUGAGACACGGCCCAGACUCCUACGGGGGGCAGCAGUGGGGAAUUUUGGACAAUGGGCGCAAGCCCGAUCCAGCAAUGCCGCGUGCAGGAAGAAGGCCUUCGGGUUGUAAACUGCUUUUGUACGGAACGAAACGGCUCUGGUUAAUACCCGGGGCUAAUGACGGUACCGUAAGAAUAAGCACCGGCUAACUACGUG
rnacentral:rRNA from 1 species